rnacentral:misc_RNA from 1 species
UGUGGGAGGGGGCUUGCCCCCGAUAGCAGUGUGUCAGUCAACUCAUCAGGUGACUGAUACACCGCCAUCGGGGGCAAGCCCCCUCCCACA